GGUGAACCUGCGGAAGGAUCAUUAUCGAAUAAACUUGAACAGGCUGUUGCUGGCCCCUUGGAAAGGGGGGUGUUGUGCACGCUUGUCUCAUCUUUAUCAUUUCUCCAACUGUGCACAUUUUGUAGACCCUGGAGCUUUUGAAUUUUGGUUCGAGUCAGGACUGCUGUGCUUUUCGCAAAGCCAGCUUUGCCUUGCAUCUCCAGGUCUAUGUCAUUUUUCACAACCUCUCAAACACGUUUAGAAUGUUGAAUAAAGGUCGUUUUGUACCUAUAAAAGUGAAAUAUACAACUUUCAGCAACGGAUCUCUUGGCUCUCGCAUCGAUGAAGAACGCAGCGAAAUGCGAUAAGUAAUGUGAAUUGCAGAAUUCAGUGAAUCAUCGAAUCUUUGAACGCAUCUUGCGCCCCUUGGUAUUCCGAGGAGCAUGCCUGUUUGAGUGUCAUUUAACUUCUCAACCACACAUCGUGUGUGUGUGUGUGGCUUGGAUGUGGAGGUGCAGGCUUUCUUUUGUGAAGGAAGGUCGGCUCCCCUGAAAUAUAUUAGUGGUAUCUGAGCUACUGCUAUGAGGUGUGAUAAA
rnacentral:rRNA from 1 species